CAUAAACGUUUCACGUUUUUAAAAAGAGCUGCACAUUUUUGAAUUAUUAAGCUCCUUUUAUUUCUGUCUAUCAAGUAUCAACUCCUUUUGCAUUAUUAGUACUUGGAAUCGAGUUUAGCAACCUAGAUGUAAAGUUUACGUAUUCCGUUUAUAUCAAACUAUCGGCAAAGUUAUUCUAUCAUUUAGAACUAGAACUGAAAUAUGCGAAUCAAUUAAAGAUGGAUUACCUACGUACUUCUGUACUAGCUAAGGCUCAUGUUUCGUGACCCGAAACCAAGUCACUAGAGUUUUGACAACCUCUAUCACGAAUCCAACAGGUGUGCAAGUCAUGGUACAAAAUUCAGGUUCAACGAAGCUGGAGAAGAAAGAUGUCUUACAAUGUUCAUUUACACCAAGCAUGGAUUAGUAAUGAAAGUAUUAUUUUAUCUUUUCUAUUUAUUUUACAACUCUAGGUUGGGGCAUGUAGGCCAAUAUCAGAAUUUUAUCUUUUCUAUUACAAUUCUUGCUAGGCAACGCUGCACCCAAAAGCAGUAUGAUGUCUUUUUGGCCAAAAUCAGAAUUUUUAUCUGAGAUGAACGCUUUUAAUGACUUCUGUAAACUAUAGAAAUCAAAACCUUUAAAAUCCUAAGCGGUGCGAGCCCCCACGUUGAAUGGUGAAUGGUGAGCGUCACUGUUGAAUUCCUACAAUCGCUCAGAGAAGAGGGUCACAGUUAAACCUGGAGAGGACACUUGGCGAGACUCGAUUGGUCAAUCGCUCAGUAUACUGCAGAUGUAGUCCUAACAAUUUAGGGUUUUUAUUUCUCAUAUACUGAUACUUGGUUAAUUCGCAGUCGGUUAUUCAUGGAUAUCAAUUCUCUGUUCUCAUGUUCGUCCACAAAAAAUAUCAGAUGUUUUUCUAAUGGUGUUGUUGACAAGAAUGAGAAAGGCGAAAAAGAUUGUAUCUUUUGUACCACUAUUCGUGGAGAGUCCGAUGCAAGGUAUUCUAACUGGGGACAAGGGCAGUGACAAUGGCAAUCAUGGCUAUGCUAAGAAUGGGCAGCAAUCAAUUGGUGGAAAAAUAAAUAAUAUGCAGUAAAUUUUUGACCUUAACACCGACCCACACAAGACACAUUGUUUUUUGUUGUCAUAAUUGGGACCGAUACGAUGAUACGAUGACGAGUACAUGCGUUGCAAAAUGGACAAGCUUCACAGAUAAAUGAUACUAUAUAGGAUGUCUGGCUUGCAUCCAGGAGUUCAUGAGAUGGAAAGUAUGCUUUGCAGUCCAGCAUGUAAUGCAGAUUGCGUAACGGACCCAAGGUUACCAUACUAAGUGGGGAAGAUAUUGGAGGGAACUCUAGCACAACAUACAAAGUAGAAGAAAUCGAAAAUUUGACCUACAAUUUAACAUACUAGGUGCUGUGGAUGCAUGCUAGAGAUGAAGCUUUUUUUUUUUUGGUGACCAUUGUGGAUGACUGCAACAAUUUUACUGAUAAUAAGGCAUGUUGUGGCUUGGCAGAGGGAA